GAGUCUUGAGGAGCAUGGAAGAGAAGGCAGGGACCGGACCUUGGUGCCCAUUUCAAAGAUGGAGUCACUGCAGAGGGCAGACCCUGUUUGUGGACGCCCAGCAAUCAGUGCCAGACCGCAGUUCUCCCCUGCAGGUCCUGGAGAGGUGUGAAAGCUGCUUGAUGGCACAGGAGGACCCCUUCGGGUCCUGGCAUGAGCUGGAGUCCCAAUGAAGGCCACUCCUCAGCUUCCAACUGAGGCCACGGGGACACACUGUGUGUGUGGAGAAGGGCGAAGCCCAGAAACAGGAAAGCAGGCUGGAGGAUCAGGCAUGGAAGCACAGGGUGCUGUCCUGGGCACGUCAGCACUGGAGAGGACAUUUCACACUGCUGUUCUGACCUCACCUUGUGGAUGGGUGGCAUUGUGAUCAGUGUCAUGUCCUUGUGUUGUCCUCAAGGUGACUUUAUGAGCCUUUACCAAGCACCUGAUAACCACCCACUGUGGCCAGAACAUUCCCUCUAAUGUCUACUCAGAGAUGGGAAGCUUGGCGGGGCAUUAUGGUACAUACCGGUAAUCCCAGCACUAGGGAGGCUGAGGCAGGAGGGUCGCUGCAAGUUCAAGGCCAGCCCAGGCUAUAACAUGAGCUCAAGACCACCUGUACUGCACGGCGAGACCCUGUCUCAAAAAUAGUAAUUUUUAAAGAAGCAUUCAUGACUCUGUGAGCCCCCUGUGAUCACACUAUUCUUUUCUAAGUGCAUCUCUUUGCUAAUCUGUUCUUGAAGCUUGGAAGCCAUUAACAAUUAAGUUUGCCAUUCUAUAUAUUUCCCUUUCUGAAAAUCAGGUGACAUUUGGCCAACUUUAUUCUCUAAGAUUUCAAUUGGAAACUGUCUCCACUUUUCAUAGUUUCACAGAUUCACAAGCGUUUAGGAACACGCAUCAUGAAAUGCUCCAUGAAGUCCUGGACUAUGACCUGGGCCGGCUGAUGUAAGGUGCCUGCAAGACACGGUGGACAUUAAAUAACGCAUAAGGGAAGAGACCCCGCGCCAAGACCACAGACAGCAUGUCCAAGUGAGGGAGUACGGUGUGCACCACGCUGACGUCCACAGCGAUAUCCUGCAGCAGUGACCCAUCCACGCUGGUUUUACAGCAGCACAGCUCCGGGCAGCCAGACCUUGGAAGCAGCCCACGUCCAUCAGCCGCGGAGAGGAUAAAGAAGAGGCAGCAUUUACACCAUGGAGCGCCACCCUGCCGUAAGGAAGAACAUACUUGAGGCAUUUGUAGGAAAAUGGAUGCACCCGGAGACCAUAAUGUUACGUGAAAUAAAUCAGGCACGUAAGUGUCAGUACUGUAUGGAUCCUCUGACAUAAAAACACAAUCAUGGCUAAAAGAGCAAAAUAAAAAGUGUUAGGCAUACACACGGGCUGGCAGCAGGACUCUCCCACAGCAGCCAGUGUACGCCAGGAGAAGCAGGCCCCGGAGAAGCUGUGAGUGUCUAGAGAAGCCUGCCACACUCCCCGCCGCCUCUGGGGACCUGGGUGAAGAGAAACCCAGGUGCCGGACCUUCUACACUGUGGAUGGGGAGUCAACGGGGAGCGCCUGGGAGCUCACAACCCACUCGUCCAGAGGAACCACGCAAAAUGCAAGGUGAAGGAGCAAAAGGCCAUCUCUGGCCUCCAGCCCAGACAGAACAAGGCCAGGAGACGUGGACAGGGAAGGAGGGAGCUGCACACCCGGAAUUUCUGGAUUGAUGGCAGCUGAAUAAAGAGACCGCGCCAUGAGGCUGUAAAAACAAUCAGAGCAGAAUUAAAACCUCAGGUGAAGGAAAUCACGAACAUAAUAAAAGGGUUGCUGAGCGUCUGUGAGGAAGACAUAGACUUAAGAAAAAGAGGAGAAUAGAAGGAGGAAACCUUGAGUGAACCCUAAAGAGAGGCAUCGGGAUGCAUGAAGCUGACUCAAAGAGAUCCAGGAAAUUAAAACCUCCACUGAAAGCUGGCAAAACUGCUUGAAAGAAACUGAAGACAGACUUUCAGAUGUUAAAGACAGGAUGGCAGCUAGUGAUCACAAAGGAAAGAUCUCUUAAAAAUAAUAAGGAACCAGGAAAUAAUAAUUCAAUGGCUACAAUUGGCUCAAAGAAAAAUAACUUAAGAAUGAAAAAGCAGGAGUCAUCACAAAUGAUAUAAAGACACUAUUUAUAGAAGUCACAGCAGAGACUGUCCCAUGCAUGAGAAAAGGAUCUGACAUAAGUGAGCUAUACAGAACCCUAAGUAGCCAUAACCAAAAUGAAUCUACACCCGGACAUAUAAUAAUCAAGAUCCUGGAAAUUCAGCACAAGAACAGAAUAUUAAAGGCUUUUAGAGAAAAGAAACAGAUCACCUAUAAAGGAAAACCCAUCAGAAUCAUGACAGGCUUCUCAACACAAACCAUCAAGUCAAGAAGAGCUUGGAGUGAAGUAUUUCAAGUCCUGAAAGAAAACAACUUCCAACCCAGAUUGAUGUACCCUGCAAAACUAUCUUCCAAAAUUAAUGGUGAAAUAAAGAUACUUCCAUGACACAGAACAACUUAAGGAAUUCAUGACCACCAAACCAACCCUGAAGGACAGUCUAGAGAGAGAUAAAGCUGACCCUGGUCCCAGGGACAGCAGCAGGGGGGUCACCAAGUGGAGCGGACAGCUGGAUGGAGGGAAAAGGAGGGAGCCAACAGCAGGAAAAAGCCGGCAGAGAUGAGCCAGAGCACACUGGUCAUAAUCACUAAUGCAGAGGCCGCGACUCUACCAAUAAAAAGCAACGCAGGCAGAGUGGACCAGGGGACAGAUCCAUCAAUAUGCGGUAGACAAGGAACACACAACUCAAAAGGAAAUCCACAGACUGAAGUCACAGGAGGGAGAACAAUGCUCCACGCAGCAGGGAACCAGGAAAAAACGGGGGAAGCUUCUCCAUCAGCCACAGUAUGGACAAGAAAGGCACGGCAUUCUCAGCCACGGGAAGCUCCUGGCUAUAAAGAAGGAUAAUCACGAGGCUCCUGUAGGAAUUCUCCAACAUUUUUGACCAGCAUGUGUUUUCCAGCCUGGUUCUGGUUCCAUUUAAAAAAAAAAAAAACCCUUGCUGUCAUUCCCAGAACUUCGGAGGAGGAGGAGGCAGCCACCCCAGUUCACGGUGCCAUUGUAAACCAGAAGUCCCGGCCCGAAGUCAAACUGUGGUGUUUCCAGCAAGCACUGCUAAUAGGAAUAAAGGACGGGGCUGCUUCUGAGCUGUCUAAGUACCACGGCAGCAAAUGAGAGCCUUGGAUGUAAGAUUUUCCCCCCGGGCAUGGCAUAAGAACUUAAUAAAUAAUGGUCCUCGGGCUUCAGAAGCACGGCUGAGCAGACCAGGGACGUGUCAGAGAGGGCUGAAAGGAGGUAAUAAAGAUGACUCGAGGCUUGGGUAAUGGGGUAUUUGAGGAGAAUAAACAGAAUUAGGACUAUUUAUCUUCGCCAAAUAAAACUUGGAAUUGUC